UUGUCUGUGACCUGUGGCCUUUGUCUGUGACCAUCUUGUGGCCACUGAGGCACACACUCAACCUGAAUCUGGUCCUCCAUUACUAACUCAGCUAAGGCUGGGUUUUCCCUGUGUUCUGUUUUAUGUGAGGACAUGCUGGGGUAUCACAUGUGCUUUCCCUGCCAUGUCUGGUACCACUAUGGCAGAAGGAAAAGGAGCUGAUGACCACAUGUCUACCGCAUUGGCAGCCCUGUGCCAUUUGUUCUUCUCCCUGGGCUUCUCUCCCUCCUCUCUCUCUCUGCCAUGUGACUCCAGGUUGGAUGUGUCCAUGGCUAUCUUGAAGCAGAGUGGCUAUGAUGACCGAUGGGAGGCCCUCACGAGACCCUUGUGGAGGUGGAAGGCCGAUGAAAGACUCUCAGGAGGCCUUCAGAGGACCUCAUGAAGAUAUGUAAGAGGAGCUGCAGGAUGACGCUGGCUUUACAAGAGGAAACAAGUUUGGGUCACAGGUGUCUGUGCGUACGGGUCUUCUACCACCAGCAACGUUUGCACAAAACAAAAACCCUGGAGGCUGGAGACAGCUCAGUUGAUCAAGUUCUUGCUGUACAAGCAGGAGGCUGAAAAUACUCCC
ensembl:processed_transcript Gm14617 predicted gene 14617